AUCUAACAACCUGUUGUGUUAUCAUAUUUACUGCAGAGAAUAUAUUUAUAUAUUCGGUAUUUUGCAGCGAGAACGAGGCUGAAUCUGGACGAGGUCCGAUCGAAAACAGACACCGACGUUACUUAACGAUGAUAAUAUUCAGGGGGCCCGACUGUAUUCUUGCCACUUGAGAGCCAAGGAGCCGGUCGGUUUAGACGCCGAUAAGGAAAUCGAGUACAAAUUGCGUGACUCUCCACCUCCUUAUCUGCCUCUGGACUUCUAUGCAAGCUGUAAAUGACACUUCUCAGAUUUACCUACCGUUUCGUGUAAUUAGAAGGCUCUAAAGAAGCUAAACUACGACCCCAGUUAAUCAGAGCACCGCUCAAGCGCUGCACAAUUAAACGUGUCAACUUUCUAUGGAGCUUUAUCGCAAGAAAAAAAUUUUUUUUUUUUAAAAGUCAUCAAAAAGUGCCGAAGUUUCAAGAUCGAGAAGAAAAAAGAUCUUAAAUACACUUUUAACGCUUUUGCGCGUGUAAUAAUACGAAUAGACGAUCAAUUGUAAAAAUAUUAUUGGCCGAAAUUUGCGAGUAAUUGCGCAAAAUUUCUUUCCGUUUAAAAAAAAAAAAAGAAGAAGAAGAAGAAGAAGAGGAAACCCGGAAAAUCAUUCUUCGUCACUCGCAUCUGGAAAAAUUUUUCGACUGCUACCUACGAGGAAGAUCCUUCGCGUCGUCAUCGGGACUGACUAAUAGCUUUAUCUAAUCGAACGGAGCAGACUAAAGAUUUUUGCGACGUGUACGCGAUCAAAUCGCGUGCACACGCGCAUAACUCGCUGAAGAUAUUGAUACCAACCUUCUUAGAUUUCAACGGAGCCCAACGUCUAUCUUCAGCGAUUAGCGAAUCAGAAAAAUCUGGUAACACGAAACUCUGGGUGCGAUCAUUUCCUCUUUAUCAGAGGAUUUAUAUGCUCUUUUAACUCUUCCGACGUCAUUUGUCUUCCAUCGUGUACAAGGAAAAUCACUCUUCUCAUGAGUCGAUAUUAUUAUUAUUAUUAUUAUUAUUAUUAUUAUUUCUUUUUUUCUUUAAUUACAAUCUACUAUGUAUAUUGCAGCGAUCCGCGUGAAUAAGAAUUUUACUUCAGUUUUUGAUUGGAUUCAUUAUACUUCCAUAAACAAAUCUAUCCACCGAACCUGCCUUUUUCCAUCCCGACGAAUGAUUAAUGGACAUGGCGUUAACAACCAACGUAUGAAGCUGGACACGUCCAUCAGCAACAUAAUAUUAAUACAACAUGUAUACACGCAUCAUUUGAUACACAGGGUAUAUAUUUCCAUUAGUGAUCAUUUUUAACCCGAAACUGUCGAGAAUGAACCACUGACAGCUUCUCGAAGAAGCGCAAUCGAGGCAGAGAAUGUGAACUAAACGACACGUGGAGAGAUUAGGAUGCAGCCUCCACCGGACGUGGUUUAAACGAAAAAAUGACAGAGUAGAUCGUGCAAAUCUAUGUGGCGAAACAAUCAGACGCUAUGAAUUUGUACAUGAGCAGUAUUAUGAUGAACAAGGGGAGGGCAGUGAUGAAAGGUGAACGAACCGGAGAAUCGUGCAACGUGAACGACGUUGGCGCAUCCACGAGGCCGGGCCAAAAAGACUUCUGGCUCGUAGCUGGCAAUGUUUGAAGUGCCGUCGCCGGAAGCUUACAAACACCGGCCCGGUGUUGUGACAUCGUAUUAUGCCAAGCGAAACUUACGAUCUCGCUAGAUCGUUAAUUUGCGAUCCAGCUUUACGACGUCUAGUUUGCACCGAACCACUGAUGUACUUGGCAAAAAUUCGUCAAACAACUAGCCCACCAAUACUCCGUGUAACUAUCGCACAAUCCUUGUUCUCCUCCAUUCUAGGCAAAUUAUUAUUCAAAUAACAGAAUGUAAUUCGUAUAAUUAUACGUAAAAUUUUGUAAGAGAGCGAAAUACAGCGCAAAAAUGUUGCGCCACGUCACGUAGAGCUGAGCAGUUUCUGUUCUUUUUUUGUUUCGAAGCAAAUUAAUAAAUAUUGUUCACGAUUAUUCUCACGGCUGGAAUUGUCAAAAGCGGUUUGCAAAUGUGGCAGAAUAUACAGAGAUCGCGUGGAAUAUACCGCAGAAGUGCAUCAAGGGUUGACACUGAAAAACGUUCUCGAGAAAUCUGUCGAGGCGGUUGGCUGGAACACGUGGUCACCUCGUUAAUUCGCUAGACAGCCAUUAAAUUAAGCUCCUAUACCGCCACCGGUGAAUGCUUUGAACGAAUAGGAAAAAGAGAAUCAACAUAGCUGGAUUCUUCGAAGGACGAAAAUUUUAAGAUCACUUUUGGAUCACUAUCGGUGUACUUGCUGGAAGAAAUAUGCGCAGAGGUUGGAAAGAAAGUGGUAAAUGAAAAAGAAGUAAUGUAUCUUGUAUGCGAAGGGCGUUAAUCACUGGAUGCGUUCACAGAAUCAUAGUUUUUCAUAGAGAUAUUAAAAAUUGCUAAUGAUAAUUUGAAUUUUGUAAAUAAAGAAGCAAUGGGUGGAAAAUAGGGAAAUACCGCUUGAUAAAUUACAUGUUUUAUAAACAAACAAAUGAAAGUUGGUUUAUUGUUUCUGAUGAUUUAGCUUGUUUGCACUACAUACAGAGUUCAACAUGACUAAAGAUAGAGGGCCUAUAAACACUUCUGUAGAUCAACAAAUGAAUGAGAUUUAGAACCUCAGGAUAAACUUAUAUCUUUGAUCCUUUGUUUUUGAUCAUAUUUUAACUCUAUUUGAUAUAAGAGAAACGAUCAGAUUUUGAAAAGAAUAAUAAGAAUAAAUUAAAUAAUUCUUGUUAGAGAAUUAAUAUAUUAAAUUCAUAGAUUUUAAAAUCAUCGUGCAUCAAGAUGAGUAUUGAAUUAUGCUUUAACAAUUUACUCUAUUCCUUUCAGCAAGUGUAUCAAUAUACAGCGAUGGAAGUCAGGUCGUGGGAGAGGAAAGAUCAGCAUAGGUCGACAACGUGAGAGGCAACUUCUCUUAUCACUGCCUCGAUAAAAGCUCCUCUGCUUUUCCUUCAAUUUAUCAGCAGUUCGUUUAUUUUGAAUAACUAGUUCGCGUGUCUGCCCCAGAAUUAUCGUCUCAUGACCACCUAAUAAUCAUAUUCUGCCUUCGAUAUUGCUUUAAUUUAACUCAGCACGGAGUAUACUCCUACAACUGGCCUGAUUUAGCCUGUUAGCCAUAGUAAGACGAGCUUCUAUCGAUUUCUCGAGCUCGCUUUGUAAGUCUAUACCACAUCCAAUCGAUCCACAGGUUGAAUCAAAUAUAAGUUCAUUCAUGGAAGAGGGCUAUUCAAUAAAUUCAACGUCUAUGUUCAAAGUGGAUGAUUCUACUUUCUCGAAGAAAUUCCUUGAAUUUGAAUAAAGAAGAGGCGAGAGCGACGAUUAUUUAGAAAUGGAACGUGGUUAAUAAUAUUCGACGAAGACGCAGAUCGGAUAGUUGCGAAAUUUUCGAGGUCACGACCUCCAUUUUUCUCUUUUUUCUUUCCCUCGUAUGCGACGAUAAGCAACGCUGCUCAACACUCUCGAUUAUCGGUCUCUCGACUGAACGUUUGACGAACGUUAAUUUGAAAAUCCAUGAAAAUUCAAUAAAAUUCAACGAUUUGUAAUAAUAAUUAACUUCGCAAUAUCCUAAUAACGGGAUUAAUUCCCUAUGUGAUAUAAUUAUAAAAAUUCAUGGAAUACCAUGUAAUUAUUUGACAAAUGAUCUUUCAUGGUCCUCCAUGAUUUACAGAUGGGCCGUAUUAAAUGAUUAAGAUUGAAAGUUACCCCAGCGACGGGAAUGACGUGCGAGACCAUCCUUGGUUUGUCCAGGUCGUAAUUCAUAAAAAUGCUGGCCGUUGCAGCUGCAUUUACACUAUGCUGCACGGCUAAGUCCUCCCAAUAGGCGGGCAAGCCCUCCACUGUUCAACACUGAUUGUUUCAAAAUGUUCUAAUUUGUUUGGAAGGGAUGUUGUUAAGUUUUUCAAAUGCACUGGCACAAAAUUGUUCAAACUAACAACUAAUCACUGAUCACAAGCUACACCUUUAAUAGUUGAUGUUACAUCUUUAAGAGGAGGCUACCUUGGCACACCAGAACAGCAUCAGGAAAUGAUGGAAAAUAAUAAUUCUUCCAACUUGUUGAUACGAUCUGUAACAAAAAAAAUAGCAGAUACAUAGUCCAUAAAAUGUCAUAAUAUUCUUUCUUACUUAACUUUAUUGAAUAUAAAAAACAAUUUUCAAACAAUCUUAUCACGCUUAUCAAUAUUUACGCAUCCUACAGGCCUAACAUCUUCUUCGCCAAAUAGGAAAUAACCGAAAUGUCCCCCCUGCUCGUGACAAAUGAAGCGGAGCUACACAAUUCCCUUCAACGAUUCUCAACGUGGAAAAACUCGUGUUAGAAGCUCAAAGCCGCCGAUUCGAUGGGAUAAGGAGUUUGACACGACUCCAGAAGGGAAUUCGUUGACGAGCGAGCAACAGCUGAACACUUAGCCGAGCACGAGGAAAGAGACCCCAUCCCAGGGGAGUCGUUGAGACUUCCGGCGGCCGCCGACAGAGGAUCCUCGAUACGUCCUCUGACGGACAUGAUCGUAAAUUUCGACAAUAAGAGGAUAUACUAUGCCAACUCAUUUAUUUUAACUUUAGAAUGUGCACAUUAAGAAAUAUUCAUGUCGGUUUAUCGCUGUUGGAUGAGCUCAUUAAUUGGAUAUCAGCGUUAAAGAGCUGUAAAUGUAUCGCAGAUUAAUGGCCUCAGUGUUAAUCCGGAUCACUUUUUUUCCUUUAACAAUUAAGAUAUUAAUAUUGAAAAUUAAUUAAUAAAAUUUAUUAAGAAUCUACUAUAUACGUACAGCUUGAUUAAAAAAACGCGAUCACAAUCCGCUAUUGUCAAUCAAGGAUCGUAAAACUCGUGAAUGGAUUCAAUAAAUAUCUAUUAAUUAAUUUUAAACAGAGAGAUAAUCUUAAUAAUUGUGGAAAAUAUAAGUUAGGACUCAAUAGGCAGAAAAUUAAUUAAUACCGAGCUGAAAUCAGUAAAUUAAUUCAAUAAUGAGUGAUUUUCUUGUUGAAAUCUUUUAAGAAUAUAUUAUAUAUUAAUUGAUGCCUGAUUUAUGGAAGUACAGACAGUUGUUUUGACGUAAUUAGGAGAGCCCCUUAUCUCCUCUGACAGAAGGAAGAGCCGUUUAUCUGGCUGUUUACUAAACAUACGCGUUAAGUUCAUAGAAAUUCUUGCUCGAUCGAAAAACGAAGUUUAUAAACUCACUUCUGGCUAUGAUAUUUUAGACAUUUCAACAAUAAUAUUGCACGAAAUCCAUCUUUUUAUUUUGGCUCGUGUGCUACGAUAGUAAACCAUUUCAUUCAUAAGUUUCUUGAUCAUAAAUGAGUUCUUGUAAACGCAAACGUUAGAUCAACAACGAUCCGGAGGUUCUAGAGGUGAUGAACUUUGCACAUGACGUUGCAGACGAGAUCGUCGACAUCCGACGGCGUCGCAGGUUAAGACCAAAACCUAAGUCCGAAUUCCUUCCUUUUUCUUUCUUUCUUUUUCUUUUUUUUCUUUUUUUUUUUCUUUUUUUAAAUUACGAAGCUAAAAAUAAUCAAAGUUUGCACGCUGAAUCUUUGAAAAGCGAUGAAAGACACGAAUGUUUUAACGUGCAGAUAAUUUUUACAAUAACUUGAUACGAUACGAAAAAAUUGUAUCUAGUAUCUUAAGUGAGAAAACAAUUUUGAUGUAUUCUGUUCUUUUCUUUAAUGGAUUUUCUUUAUCUUUUUAGGGCUCUUUAAACUUUCCAAGCAAAUCUCCGGGGAUAGGAAAAAGAGAAAGAAGAUAUUAAUAAAAAAAAAAAAAAAAAACUCAUACUCAUCUGCUGUAAGUAUUUCUUCAUUGAAAUAAUCCAAAACACUUCAUUCUCUAUUUUCGAGACACGAAUAGAAGAUUAUUAAUAUCUGAAAGCUUUAAAGACCCUUGUUAUGUUAAAUAAUCACCAAUAAAAAGAAACCAAUCACAUUUUCUGCAACUGAAAUCACAAAAAAGAAAUGCCUACAUUCAAAAUAAAAGAAAGAAAAAAGUUGUCACCGUGUAACCAAGAAGAAGAAAAAAGAAAAAAGAACCACCACAAUACUUUGAUAUAAUAAUUUGAUUAAAAUUCUUAUUAUCAAAAAUUAUUAAACGGAUCACUAGAAGCUUAUAAAACUAUAACAAACUAAAACAAACAACUCACAGUGAUCAAGAAGUGAAACAAGCCUAAGCCGAAUCUUCGAUCGGACGACGAAAGAUGGAUCACCAGGGAAGUUUACCUCGUUCUUAGCACUGCGAUUGCGAGGACGAGGUUUUUUUUUUUUUUUUUUUUCUUUAACACUUGUGUCGAAUCGCGAUCGCGUGGAAACGGUCGAGUAGCAGCGGAAACACGAUGAGCUUGAGAGGAGAGCCAACCGAGAUUGAAACUAAUUGAGAAUGUCGAAGCGGACCAGCGAGUGUUUCGAAGCGGGUGGAGGCGCACAGAGGCGGAGUUUCGUGGUCACCGAGCCGUCCAACUUAUCAGAGACCUCCCACGUCUGGUUCUCCGCCCCUUGUGACUAGAACAGCCAAAAAUCCUGUCUUCGAAAUCGAGCGGAAAAGAAGGAUAAACGGUGCGAUGCGUUUGUUGGAGGAGGAAGGAAGAAUUAUUUUUAUUGAGACUGAAGAAAGAGGCAACAGUUAAGAAUAAGAAUGUCUGGCUAUUCGUUAUUGUUGAUGCGCUGAUUUAUUAUUUGUUAUACUUCCAAUGGGAAGUUUGUAAAGAGAGUAGAGUGAUUAUUAAAUGGGGAUUGUGUAGCCAAGACUUUUUUUACAAUCACAUCUAUCCGACAUCCUUCGAUUUCGACCACGGACAAACACAUUUGUUGUGCUCUACUUUAGAAAGAAUUGGUCCAAUAUCGGUCAUCAAGUGCAAUUAUAUCUCGCAAAUCAGUGAAACAAUGGUCAACAGCCAUACUAAGGAAGAAUUCCAAAGGAUCAGUUUCUUUUUAUGGCAUCUCUAUCGGAAUCGAAAUCUCCGGACAAAUAAACAUCGCACAAGUUCCCAGCCAUUGAUCGUGAGCAAUAUAAAUACUUCUUACUUGAUAUAAGUAUAAUUCUGAGAAAUGGGACCGUGAUACGUGCCACUGAUUACGUAAUGAUUUAGGCAGGAUACUGAUAACGUCUGUAAAACCGAAGGGGUUACAUUUCUUUAACUCUGCCUCAGAAUGAUUUUUUUUAAUCAUUUUAGUAAAUAUUAUAUGUUUAUCUUAUAUAUUUAAUUUAUUACUAGAGUAACAUGAAUUAUCAGAAAAAUAAUUCUUAAGAUUA